GAUGAAUAUACCGGUUCUCGUUAGAUCACCGAAGUUAAGCAUCAUUGGGCGCGGUUGGGUGACCACCUGGGAACACCGCGUGCCGUU